CCUACGGGUGGCAGCAGUGGGGGAUAUUGCACAAUGGGGGAAACCCUGAUGCAGCAACGCCGCGUGAGUGAAGAAGUAUUUCGGUAUGUAAAGCUCUAUCAGCAGGGAAGAGAAUGACGGUACCUGACUAAGAAGCCCCGGCUAACUACGUGCCAGCAGCCGCGGUAAUACGUAGGGGGCGAGCGUUAUCCGGAUUUACUGGGUGUAAAGGGAGCGUAGACGGCUGGUCAAGUCUGAAGUGAAAGCCCGGGGCUUAACCCCGGAACGGCUUUGGAAACUGAGCAGCUAGAAUGCGGUAGAGGUAAAGGGAAUUCCUGGUGUAGCGGUGAAAUGCUUAGAUAUCAGGAGGAACAUCGGUGGCGUAAGCGCUUUACUGGGCCGUAAUUGACGCUGAGGAACGAAAGCCAGUGUAGCAAAUGGGAUUAGAUACCCGGGUAGUC
rnacentral:rRNA from 1 species